AUUCGUUCCUUGCAGGUGCUAAAAGAUGAAAAUGUUGAACUAUGGUAGAGCUUUAUACCUUGUGGUCCGGUUCAAUGUAGAUGUAAAGGACUGUUUUUUUAAUAGGUUUUGGCUUUGAGAACAAAAAUAAAGAGUACAUGUAUAUGAGAUUUCAUUGACUAUUGACGUUGUCACUUUUUGGUUAGUUUUUGAUGUUAAGUACGGUUCUGGAUGUUAGUAGAUGUUUUUGCAAGUCAUACUGAGAAUUGUUAAUGCAUGAUUGUGUUUAUAUUUGAUUAGAUUUGGUUCAAGUUGAAAGUUAUUAUUUGUGCAUGGUUGAUCAAUUGCAAUGAAGGAUACAAGGUACACCAAAUAUUUGAAUGGCAUAUAGAGUUUAGGUGGAUGCUCCACGUUGGAAGAGGAGCCCGUUAACCAAAUUUAAUUAUAAAAUGUUUUUAAAUAUUUUUUUUUGAUAUAAACAUAUUUUUUAAAUUAUUAAAUAAAUAAGUUAAUUAUAUAUCUUUUUAAUUUUAUAUGUUAAUAUAUUUAUAUAUAUAUAUAUAUAUUAGAAAUAUAUUCAUUAAAAAUAAAUAUAUUAUAUACUAAUUUAACCUAUACUAAAAGGAAAAUAUGUUCGAUAACUAGCGUGUCCACCUAAGCAUAAAUAAUCAUCCAAUUAUAGAGUUUCAAUCUGCCACGUCAUAAAUAAUAACUACAUUCUAAAAUCCACCACUUGAAAAACUCUAAUACAGACAAAGCAGUCCAAAGCCCAAAUUACCUUAGGUCUUCCUAACCCAGUCUUCAAUGGUAUCAGGAACUUUCUACCUUCCUCUCCCCUUAAAUUCACCGUUCUGUGAAAAUCAAAACGUCACCGGUCAAAGAUCUUCAAGAAACAUUUUUCCUCAAACUUUACUAUCCUUCUCAAAUUGAUAACGAACAUCUCUCUCUCUUCAGCUUCAAAUAUCUUUAUAUAUAAGCUGAUGCGUACUUACACAACCAACUUCCAAUCCAACUACAACAGGGAUGCUCAUCCAGCUUAGGCAUCUUCUCGUCGAUGAAUAGGUUCACCUGGAUCAAGCUACGGAAGAGACAUGACCGAAAACAUGUGCUCUGUUAUAUAUUGUUAUUGCGCUUUUCCUUACUCUUGCUUUGAAAUCUCGGAAGCAUUUUCAUUACAACCAUAUGAUCAGAGUUAUGAUAUUUUGUUAUCUUCUUUUUGGCUUGGCUCUAUCCGGUAGACAUUUCUCCUUUUGUUGGUAUUUUUCUGCUCUACUUAUAAAUGGCUCGAAUUAAAGCUUCAAGAUACUGCUAGAGUAAUAUAUGUCUUUGUUUCACAACACUGAGUAUUGAAAGAUAUUGUAUCUGAUACGUAUUCGAGAGUCCAUUUAUUUUUGAUAUAUGUAGAGAGCGCAAAGAAAUUUUGAGGCUGGUCAAGAAAGAGAUGGAAUUUCUAUAACACAAUGGCGGAGCGAGAAUAUGCUGAUUGUGAAAAAUAUGCGAUGAAUGCAUACAAAGUAGCUACAGAAAAUAGUGACACAUGUGAUGAAAUUUCUCAAGGCAGCCACCUCGCACCAAAUCAUCCUGAACCAAAACCAGUUUCUGGUUUGGCCCAGAUGAUGAUGUUGUCUGAUGCAAGACUACAGAUUAAAGACAAGGAGUGAUGCAAGCCGUGAAGACUAUGGAUUCCUGUCCCGGCUGCGUUUUCUCGAUGCCAAGGCCUCAAUGAAGUUAAAUAAACUGUUAAAAGAGUCACCAGUUCUUUUAACGCCAUUGUGGAAGAAACAUAAAAUAUUAGAACAUAUCGAAUGAUUACCCGGUAAGCUACGAGCAUAUGUAUAUUUUUCAAGUUUUUGUUUGUUUGGUAUGGUUGGAAGUUCUAUUGGUUCAAAUACUCGGAUCGUUAUGGUUAAUAACAUUGAAGAAUAAGUCUAUGUUACAUCCA